GUCACCGCCAUCGCCGCCCGCACCCGCCCGCCGUGACGUCACCGACAGCCCCUCCCGCAUGCCCGCCGUCUCCGCCGCGCCGUGACGUCACCGGCGCCCCGCCCAUCACUCUCGCCUCAAUCAUGACGUCACCACCACGCCCUCACCAGAGCAAUUACGUCAUUAUAGUAAAGCCACGCCCCCUCGUUAUGCCAGCGCUGACGGCGGAGCCUCCACGUUGGCCACGCCCCCUCCUGCGCGCGCAGCGGCUACGGCGGCGCUGAGGGCUCAAAAGGCCUGGAAGGCGGAGUUGGGGGAGCGGUGUGAGGGAAGGUCGCGCAGGGCCCGAUUUAUGUCUGGAAUUAAACAUAAAAAAGGCGGUGCUGGCGCAUUAAUGUGAGAUUUACGCCCGCAUUAUAUAAAUACCACGGGCUUUCCAUCACGUCUUAUGGCUGGGGGCAAAAUCCCACCCUGCCUUUUGUAAAAUAAUCCCUCACAUUAAUUACUUUUCCAUUUAAAACCGGCCGGUGGUGAAUAAAACAAUAUCCAGCCUCUACACUGUGCCGGCUUCCCGCCAGUUCACUUCUUGCUCGCCUUUAAUUGCAUAAUAAAUUACUAUUUGCACGAUUUAUUAUUUAUAGAAUUAAUGCAUUCUACUAAAACCACCCCCCAAAAAAAAAAAAAUAGGAGGUUGAGAAUCCCGACACUGCUGAGCAGAGCAGGAUGGAGGGAACGAUGAAAAGACGACUAAAAUUUAUGAAGGUUUAUUUUAAAGUGUGCUGGGGAAGGGGGAAUUGCCUUCAGCGUAGGAAUCCUUAAAAUCAGGAAGUUUUAGACAAGUUGCAGAAGGCAAGAAGGCAAAAAGAAGACAGCAGAACUGCCAUUAAAACUAAACAGUCAACAUAAGCAAAAAAAUUCUACGAGAAGUAGAAAGUGAGGAGAAAUAGAAGGGUGGUCAGUGUAUUACACUUGACUGAAAUAACUCCCUGAGCUACACAAAAAUCUAUCCAGAGAGAUAUUCGGAAUUUCUGAGCUUAAUAACGGAGCUCUGUGCAUUGUGUUUUGAGGCUUGCAAGCAGGUAACGAGGCUGAUGCUGGGCAAUUAAACACCUCGAGGUGCAGUCGGUGAUUCGCACACAGAGCCCCGGCCGGCGAUAAAAGGUAUCAUCUCGAGAGCUUCGAUCCUGACCUCGGCAGAGGCACAAAGAAGAAGCCCAAAGCCAGCACCUCUCCCUGGCCACUGGAGCCAGUGGGAAUCCUUCCAGGCACAGCAGACCACCCAUGUGGAGCUGGGCCCAGGUGUUUGAAGCUCAUUCCUGCAAUUCCUGCUGUGGAAAACUGCCUGGGGACAUCCUUCUUUCUUUCAGCAUUCUUCACAGAGCAGCACAGAGGAAAGAAAAAGAAAACAAUUUCUAUUUCUGCCCCUUGUUUUUCCCAUGUGGAAUGUGUUUGGAGAAUUGUUUACCUGGGGUGAUUGCUUGGAUGGAUUCAGGUGAGGAUUGUUUGAGUUGAUGGCCAGUCCAAUCCAGUCCAAUCCAGUCCAAUCCAAUCCAACCCAAUCCAAUCCAACCCAAUCCAAUCCAACCCAAUCCAA